UAAACACAAUUUAUCUAUUUUACUUAAAAAGAGAGAAAUAAAGAACAGUAACAAGGUAUUAAAAAAUAAAAUAUUUGAGGCAUAAAAAUAUUUUACCUCCAAAGUAUGCUUCGUAAUGCCUAAGUCUGGUCAAUAAAAUGUGCAGUGAUUGCGAUAUAUGUUUUUGUUUGAUUUUCUGUAGCCCACAUAUCCAUUGUGAUGGCGAUUCUACCUUAAGUUUGCUCCAACACACUAAUACGCUAAGCCAGCGAACCCAUCAGCUUAUUAAAAAGCACUAGCCUGCGUGAGAACCAGGCACUUCUAAAAAACUUUAAAAAAAAUGAAAUUAAUAGUGGAUUAAUAUAUUUUAAAAAAUGAGAUUGGUUAUUAAUAAUGAAAAAUACUAAUUAGGUUGUGUUUCUGUAUUAAUAAAAAAUGAUUAAUUUUUUAGUAAUUUGACUUUUUAUUUUUGUUUUAUUGCUAUAAAUAAUUAAAAAAUCAAAGCUUAAACCCAAUUUUUCUAUUUUACUUAAAAAGAAAGAAAUAAAGAACAAGAACAGUAAGGUAUAAAAAAAUAAAAUAUUUGAGGCAUAAAAAUAUUUUACCUCAAAAGUAUGCUUCGUAAUGCCUAAGUAUCAUCAAUAAAAUGUGCAGUGAUUGCCAUAUAUGCUUUUGUUUGAUUUUCCAUAGCCCACAUAGCCAUUGUAAUGGCGAUUUUACCUUGAGUUUGCUCCAACACACUAAAGCACUUGGCCUUUUCACACUCAUACAUGUCCAUAAUCUCUUUGUUGAUAGUAUUUUUCCACAAACUACUAGAAAAACAAGCUGUCAUGACAAACUAUUUGUGAUAUAUGUUAAAAGAUUAGUCAUUUAUCACAAGAAUAUGAUAGACACGUGAUUGUAUUUUUAUAUAUCAUAAAGGCAUGAUAGAUUUGUGGUAGUUUAUUUAUCUAUCACACACACGUGAUAGCAUAUUACUAUUUAAUGAAACUGUAAGUUUAGGAUGAGCCAAAUUGGACAUGGAACGGCACCGUGUCCUUAAACCCCCAAAAAAAAUUUGAGUUUUGGACUUUCCGUUGACUUCCCAUGGAAAACCCUAAUUUUAAAUCACACUUCACACACAAAUAAGAAUAACACUGUCGACAACAAAUGUGGUUCUCUAUAGCUCUUCGUUUUCUUUUUCAUCCAUGCUGCCUAGCUUGUUGGCUAUCUCGAUUUCCCUUUAUUUCUCAACUUAAUAGUUGUUGCCACUAGCCUGCUACCUUCUUCAACUUUGAGCUACCAUUAAUGUCUUUUUUAAUUUAGAUAUUUAAGUUUGAGCAGAUGAUUUUCUUCAAGUUCAAGCUCUUGUUGCUACUUCAUCUCGUUUUCGAUGUAUAUUGACAUGUGGCCUUCAGGGAUUAGCUUCAACUUCACAAAUUGGUGUGCCAACUAUGCCUUGAGAGUGUAGAAUGACUAUGGGCAAUGCUAGCAGCGACAUGCUACUUGCAUGGAGUCGGACUGAAGAUUGUACUGUAAGGAGUCACUAACGCGAGAAAAAUGAAAAAUUAGCAGGUUCAUCUUCAAGUUUUUGGUGGAAUUUAUUUGAUUAAAAAAGAAUGAAAGUUAUAGCUAAGAAAUUAAUAUUUCUCAAUAGAUCCCUAUUGAGUACUGGAGAAUGCAUAUUUAUAAAGGGUAAAAUUAUCAUUUGUGCUCCAAGUCUUACUAACAUUUCUACUUUUAUGUGUUUAAAUCCUCUUAGUUUUUAUUAUGUGUGUUUUAUUAUAAUUUAACUAUUUUAUGUAUUUCAGGAAUAUUUCACAACUAACAAUAAGUCAGACAGCAAAAUAGAUGAUAUUUUUAAACUCAAAACGAUUAAAAAUCUUAGGAGUAGUAUAAAAGAGUAUUCGGAACUGUUCACGUAUAUGGCACUAUUCAUAUAUACAGUACUAUUCACAAGUACAUCACUGUUCAUAAAUACGGUACGAUGACGUGACAUUGACAGAUGAUGUGGCAGCAUCUUAUUAGACCAAUGAUGUGGCAUUGAUUGAUUAUGUGGCGUUGAAUGAUAAUGUGACGUUGAUCGAUGAUGUGGCAGGAUGCUAUUAGAACAAAAUACCGAUGUGACGUUGACUGAUGAUGUGGCAGCAUCUUAUUGGAGCGAAAUGUUAAUGUGGUGUUGACUGAUGAUGCGUUUCAACCAAUCACAACUUGCAACGUGGUGCAAUCCUGAGCGUUCAAAUUAUUUUCAUCUGAUAGAUAUGGUUUACCCAUUGUAUCUAUAAAUGGAGGGCUCUUCCCUAAUUCAACACUCCUAAAUUCAUUUUUAGCUCUAUUUUCUGUAAUUCUCUCUCUAUCUUGUAUUUUCUAUUUAUUUGAAUAAAAUUACCAUUUUACUCAUAGUUCAAUUAUAAAUGGCUAGUUUAGUUUUAAAUUUGGGUUGAAGGCGAAGCCUCAACAUGAUCCAUGGGCUUAAUUAGGUAAGUUUAUUUUCUUUUCAUCUCUGAUUUAUGUGAUUGUUUUUUGACUCAUUGUCAACAGACACUGUAUCUUGUCAGAUUUUGCACGAUAUACCAGCUCCUUAGUGAGAGAUCGUUACUGUCUGGCAAAAAUGAGCACUUAGUACCAUAUUAAUUAAAGAGAAAAUGUUCCUCUAGUAUUUUGUGGGUCAUCACUUAAUGUCGACAUAGAGUGUAUUUAAGCAAUUUAGUGAAUGAUCUUGCCACAUUGUCGACAGAAGAAUUAUUAUUGUUUGGCAUAACGUAUUCUUAACACCACACUUAGUGGAAGAUCAUUGUCUUUAGCACACUGAGUGCUUGUUAUAAAAUUUAUUAGAGUGAGGAUUAUAAGGAGUGGAAAUACCCCAUUCAUAAAUUAAUUAGAACUAAAAAGGAAAUACUAAGCUCAUGGUGAAUGUUGAGUGUGAAUCCAGAGACUCAAGCGUUUCAUUUGCAUUUUUUUCAUCUUUAAUUCAUUCCCGCCAUUUUAUUUUAAAUUUUAAGAUAAAAAAAUUCACUUCCAACCAACUCACACAUACGCCUAGAAAAUUAACCCUACACUUGAUUAAAUCUAUCUUUUCGUGGGAUCGACACUCGUUACCAUAAAAUCUAUUCUACUAUAGAUUUGUGCGCUUACGAGUACAAUAAAAUAUGCACAACAAUCCCAUGUGUGUAGCUGUUACUGUUGCUACUGCAGCUGUGAUUACAUCUAUUUGUGUUGCAGUUGUUGUUGGUGCUAUUGUAACUAUUACUGUUGGCUUAGUAUUUGUGGUUUAACUUGUAUUCUUUAUAUUUUGAUAUUUGAUUGAAAUAAUUAAAUGUGUUUGUAGGGCAUAAUGGGCUGCAUUAAAUGCAAACACAAGCUACAAGUCGCAAUCUCUGUAGGUGAUGUAAGUUAUUUUACAAACUAUUUUAUACUUCAAUGUUAUCAUAUGGUCUAUAGUUAUAGAAAUGAAAUUUGUGUUUAAUAUAUACAUGUAGUGCCAAACAUGGCAGCUCAGAAAAAUCUAAAUAGAGUAUGACUUACUUCUAUGUUUGUGCACUUGCAAAAUUUUGUAUUUUAUUUGCUUAGAAUGAUCAUAUAAAGUAAAACAAUACUCAAGCUUGCCAGUAUGUAGGAGUUCCAUAAAAAUAUUUCCAUAGUACCUCAAAAUAUUACCUAUAAUCUACCAAAAAUAAAUCUCAUUCUCCUAUAACCAUCUACAUAGAUGUUGGACAUGGUAGACAGGCUUGUUGUGUUAUUAAGUCUCUAACACACCAAAUAAUCUAUGGUAGAAAUUUCCUACAAAGUUUAGAUAUUUGUGACACUGCUAAAAGAGUUGUACUUAGUCCCACUAGUUUUUUUUUUUCUCUAAAAGUUGAUUGAUACAAUUUGUGAUCCUUUUCUUUUUUUUUCUUUUUUUUGCGGAUCAUGGAACCUCGAUGUAAAUCCUACAAUGUACUGAGAAAGAUAGAUUACCCAUACAAGGUCAAUUUCAGAUAUGUUUCAAUGAAUUUUAAUUAUAGCAAUAGUUUCAAAUCUUUCAUUCUUAUAAAGAUUUAAAAGGCUUUAUUGCUUUGUAUCUUGAAUUCAUCUACUAAUGGAAGCUCUAGUUUGUAAUUAUCAAAAUAAUGGAGGCUCUUUUAAUUUUUUUUCAAACGUCCUUGUUCUUUGCAAUAUUCUAAUUUUCAUGGGAAAACUUUUUGUAAUUUGCUAAUAUUUUUGCAUCAUUCUAGUUGAUGACCUUUCCUCAUAUUGUGGGUGGAUUUGACUUUGAUAAUGAAGUCAAGCAAAAAAUUUGGUGGCAAUAGAAGGUUUCAAAAUGAUUUUUCUUUCUUGCACUAGCAUUAUUUGGUUGUUAUUUAUUUUGCAAUUUGACAUCCUCUCUCUGUCUUUUUUUGUUUCUCUUUCUCUCCCAAUACUUGAUGUAGCUUGCAAAUUUUGUUUUUUUCAAAGUAAAGAUUUUGCCACUGUGAUAAUAAAAUAAGUCAUUGCAUGCAUAAAUUUUUAUAAAAUUGUUCAUUUUUUUAAGCUUUAUUUGAUAAAGGGAAAUUAUCAGCCAUAUACCCUUAAAUGACACCUGUAUCAAACGUGUGUGAAUACUUUUCAAGUGUAUCACUCGUAUACCCUAAGUUGACAAAACACUUCUGCCGUCCACCAAUCCGCUAACUUCCGUUUGAAAGCGCUGACAUCAUAAGGGUAAUUUAGUCUUUUAAGAUUGAUGAAACUUUGAUUAAAAAAAACGACAUGUCAUCCCAUUUAUCGGAUAAUUGUUAAUAAUUGCUCAAAAAACAUACUUUAUAACCGAAUCUACUCCGCCAAAAUUUAACUUAAAUUUUUUAAGAUCUACUCCUCCAAGUCCAUCUAGAAAUUUUUAUGGUAUAAUAUGUAUAAUUGUAAAUAAUAUGUUGUUAAUAAUUUUUUAUGGUAUAAUAUAGAUAUUUUUUAUGGAUAAUUGUUAAUAUUAUGUACCAUUAAUAAUUUAUUUUUUUAAUAAAAAAAAUGUAUUGUUAAUAACAAAAUAAAAAAAAUUGUGUAUUGAAAAUUUACGUUACUUUUUGGAGUAAAUUUAUCUUUUUACCUUAUUUUGAGUUUCAAGGGUAAAAUAGUCAAUUUGUCACAAUUCUGUUAACUUUCUAACCGAAGUUAACGGAUUGGUGGAUGAUAGAAUUAUUUUGUCAACUUAGGGUAUACGAGUGAUACACUUGAAAGCGUUCACACACGUUUGAUACGGGUGUCAUUUAAGGAUAUAUGACUGAUAAUUUCCCUUUGAUAAAAGGUAAUUGGUAACGUAAUUGGUCUUAAAUGAAAAUUUCCUCUAUACUUCAUAAAUUUGAGAAUUUGAGUCUAACUUCCAGUAUUCCUUACUAUGUGCUUAGAGUUUGGAAGUUUUGGUUAAAAUGAUAUCUAUAAAACAAGCAUCCUAAUACUCAGCACCAUUUCUUAGCCUAAACUUGGAAAGCAAAAUGAUAAUCUCUUCUAAAUCCAUACAUUAGCUGGACAAAGUCAUCGACCUUUGAUUUUCAUCCCGAAAUUAACUGAAUGGAAUCCACACUCAUUCACAUUAUUUUUUUCAAGUAAAACUACUGCCUAAUCAAAUGAUACACUAAGUGGGAAAAAACAAUAAUAAUAUCAAUUAAAAAAAUAGUCAAACAUGACGUAUAAACAAUACAAUAAAAAGCAAAUGAAUUGCAAAUAACGUGCUAACUUGUAUUGAAUGAAGAGAUGAGGGGUCAUUUGAUAUUUGAAGGAACGAAGAGUAGUGUGCCACUGUUACUAUAUUUUUACUUUUAGAGAAGCCAAAACAAAACAAUGAUUUAGGGAUCUUCGAUGGGUUCUGGACUGGUCGUGGAAUUGGCAAAGGUAAGAUUAAUAAAAAAUUAUUAAUGAGCUUGUGGGCUAUUUGAAAAUUAAAUUAAUAUUAAUAUUUA
rnacentral:lncRNA from 1 species